rnacentral:rRNA from 1 species
UACGGAGGGUGCAAGCGUUAUCCGGAUUCACUGGGUUUAAAGGGUGCGUAGGAGGACAGGUAAGUCAGUGGUGAAAUCUCCGAGCUUAACUUGGAGACUGCCGUUGAUACUAUCUGCCUUGAAUAUUGUGGAGGUGAGCGGAAUAUGUCAUGUAGCGGUGAAAUGCUUAGAUAUGACAUAGAACACCAAUUGCGAAGGCAGCUCGCUACACAUAUAUUGACUCUGAGGCACGAAAGCGUGGGGAUCAAACAGG